AGUGAACGCUGGCGGUAGGCCUAACACAUGCAAGUCGAACGGCAGCACCGUAAGAGCUUGCUCUUACGGGUAGCGAGUGGCGGACGGGUGAGGAAUACAUCGGAAUCUACUUUUUCGUGGGGGAUAACGUAGGGAAACUUACGCUAAUACCGCAUACGACCUACGGGUGAAAGCAGGGGAUCUUCGGACCUUGCGCGAUUGAAUGAGCCGAUGUCGGAUUAGCUAGUUGGCGGGGUAAAGGCCCACCAAGGCGACGAUCCGUAGCUGGUCUGAGAGGAGGAAGAGCCACACUGGAACUGAGACACGGUCCAGACGCCGACGGGAGGCAGCGGUGGGGAAGAUUGGACAAUGGGCGCAAGCCUGAUCCAGCCAUACCGCGUGGGUGAAGAAGGCCUUCGGGUGGUAAAGCCCUUUUGUUGGGAAAGAAAAGCAGCAGGUUAAUACCCCGCUGUUCUGACGGUACCCAAAGAAUAAGCACCGGCUAACUUCGUG
rnacentral:rRNA from 1 species